CCAGAACUUUCUGUUUUAAUCCAACUGGGAGAAAAGGCCAUGAAGGAGAAUAGAAGUGAUUUUUUCAAGGAAAAAGGGCGACUUUUUCCUUGUGUGGCAAGUCUUCCUCAGCCAGUUCCUCCAGCUGAAAGAUGCUGAAGUGCGAGGGCAGCCACACAGCAUCAGGAAGAGCAAUGUUGAGGUGGAGAGAGGAGCAGAUGAGCCCUGAGGACUCACCCCAAUGUCCCACACUCUACCCAUGAAAAUGAUGCAACAUACUUUACAAUUUUGGGCAACGUCUCAGAACCACCCACUAACAACCGUACACCCUGACAUAACCUUCUAAGCUGCUGCAGAAGGGACAGAGGGAGACGCUGCCUCUGGUCAUUAUUCUGAGCGCUGUAUUAUGAACAUGAUGACAGAAUGCACCCAACCUGCUUUAGAAGUUCGAUCUUUGUGUGCCAGUAUUUCUGAACACUUAGCCAA
rnacentral:lncRNA from 1 species